GUGAGGCAAUGAAGAGGAGAAAGUCCAUGAAUGGAAGGUGGAACUUGAUUGGACCUGUUUUGUGGGUUCAGGAGAGGUCCUCUCACAACUCACUGGAGAUAGGCAAGGCAGUGACAGCCAUGUCCUUCCACAUUAGACUUCUUGGAAAGAACACCUUCCUCUGUCACCCAGAAUGGAGUGUGCAGCGGCACAAUCAUGGCUCACUGCAGCCUGAAACUCCUGGGCUCAAG